CCUGGUGUUCCCCGGUUCCCCGUGAGGGGUCAGGGCAGAGUCCGCUGGCCUCUAGGGCCACAGGUGAAAUACCACUACUCUCAUCAUUUUUUCACUGACCCGCUUGGGGGGCGGUGAGCCCAAAGGGGCUCUCACUUCUGGCUCCAAGUGCCUGUCUGCACUCGCCCGUGCGUAGGCGACCCACUCUGGGGACAGUGCCAGGUGGGGAGUUUGACUGGGAUGGUACACCUGUGAAACAGUAACGCAGUGUCCAAAGGCAAGCUCAGGGAGGACAGAAACCUCCUGUGGAGCGGAAGGGCAAAGCUUGCUUGAUCUUGAUUGUCAGUACAAAUACAGACCAUGAAAGUGGGGCCUUACGAUCCUUCUGACCUUUUGGGUUUUAAGCAGGAAGUAUCAGAAAAGUUACCACAGGGAUAACUGUCUGUGGUGUCCAG
rnacentral:ncRNA from 1 species